ensembl:lncRNA
CUACAACUCAUGCCAAACAGAAAAUCUGACAUUUGUCAUUUUAUUAUUACUUCCAGUCUGUUCUUGUAAUAUGAGGAGGAAGGGUAGGGAUUUUAGCAGCUAGUGUAUUCUCAUGUGUGUAUACAAGUAUUUUUGUGCUGAUUACUCAUAUGAAAUUUCUAAAUGAAAUUAAUAUUGCUGUGUUAUAUUGAUCCCAGGACUGUGUACAUUCAAAUUCAAAUUCAAAUUUUAUUUGUCACGUACACAGUCAUACACAGUACGAUAUGUAGUGAAAUGCUUAGACAACUGCUCGUGACCUAAAGAGAACAAAAAAAAGGAAAAGGCUAUGAAUAAGAUAGGAAAUAAAUAUGAAAAAUUAAAAAGGGUAAAUUUAACUAGGAAGGAAUAAAAUAUAAAUUAAGGUUAAAAAUGAAAUAACUGUACAACACAAAUUAGAAUGAAGGGUAAAUUUAACUGGGAAGAAUAAGAUAAAGAUAAAUAUAUAAAUUAAAGUUGAAAAUAAAAUAACUGUACAACAAAAUACACAAUAUAGAACUAUAUAAAAAUGUAUGAAGAAAUCUAAAUAUAAAUAAAUAUAUACACAAUAACAGCAGCUGUACAAGUACAGCUGUACAUCUACUACUACAAAUAGUGAUGUUAGUUCUUUCUACUUGAUUAAUAAUUGACAUAUUGGACAAUGUACCCGCAGAGUCACAGGGAAAUGACAGGAAACAAAGAGAAAAAAGUGCUUCAAGGCUUGACAUAAGCCAUCAGGGAAAUUUGAAAAAAAAAAAAAAAAAGUAUACUUCGUGCCACAUAACAACCAAUAUGCCCUUAAAGUCUUUAGCUGUCACCAAGUACCCACAACUAGUCAAAAAAACAUAGCUAGGUUGUUUUUCUUUCAAUGAACAUCUCAGGUACUGUAAUACAAAAGACCAACAAGGAUGUAUUGAAACUGACAGGCUGUCUGGCAGCUAUUUUCAAAUUUAUUUCCAUGACAGGCAUUUAUUUCAAAUACAUCAUGUGCUGUUGCUUCUAUUGACAUUGCAUGUUAUACCGGGUGGUGAGAAGAUGAAGGAAAAAAAAAUCUUAGUGACAGCAUGCAUUGCCAUGUACAAAGUGUCCUGGCAAUGGACAUUAAUCAUACUUUGGAUAAUCAGAUACCAUUUUUACCUUGCACAAGAAGUUCAGGCUUACAUCCAGACGUGUAAUCUG